AUUAAUUUGAUUCUGGUUAUAAUAUUAGUUUUUAUUAGAUAAUAUAUGUUAGGUUUAAUAUCGUUUUAUUUAAAUUUAUUUAAAUAUAUUUAUUGUUUAAAAUGUAAAUUAUAUUAAUAAUAAAUAAUAUUUAUGUAUAAUAAUAAUGUUAAUUUAAAUUACUCAGUAUUUAUAAUUAUACAAUGAAUGAGAGUUUUAUAUAGUGAUAAUAAAUAAGAAUUGGUUAAUUUUGUGCCAGCAACUGCGGUUAUAUAAAUAAUUCAAAUUAAUAUAUUAUAGUAGAAGAAAGUAAGAUAAUAAGUUAAAAGAGAUAAAUAGUUAAUAUAAAUAAGUAAAAUUUAUUAUAUUAAAGAAAAUUAAAUAUUUCUGUAAAUUUAAUCUUUGAAAAUUUAGGGAUAAACUAGGAUUAGAUACCCUAUUAUUCUAAUAUUUUAAAAAUUAAUUAUAUUAAAUUUACUAAAGUAGUAAGAAUAAAAAUUAAUAGUUAUUAAUUAUAAUUAAUUUAAAACUUAAAGAGUUUGGCGGUGCUAUAUAUCCAUUUAGGGGAGUUUGUUAAUUUAUUCGAUAAUCCUCGAUUAAUACUUACUUUUUUUUGAAUAUUUUUAUCAGUUUGUGUAUUGCUGUCGUUAGUUUAUCUUUUAAAAGGUUAGUAAAGAACAUAAUAAUAUUAUUAAUAUUAUUAUGUCAAGUCAAAAUGCAGCUAAUAAAGAAGGUUAAAAAUGAGCUACAAUUUAUAUUAUAUUAUCGGAUUUUUUUUUUUGAUUUAAUUAAAUGAAGAUGGACUUAAUAGUAAUUAAAAUAAUAGUUAGAUUUAAUGAAUAUUGGUUUUGUAGUGUGUACAUAUCGCCCGUCGCUUUUAUUGGAAAAUAAAAUAAGUCGUAACAAAGUAGGGGUAGUGGAAGCUGUUCCUGGAGUAA
rnacentral:ncRNA from 1 species